CAAGGCCAGACAUAUCUUCACAUGUUUGCAGUUUGUAGUAGUACAGAUCUGCAGAUACCGUGGGCCUACACGGCAAUGAGUUAUCCUAGGCUGUCCUUGGUAGUCGUCACAGUCCCAGCCCUGGGAUCUGGCCACAGCCUUGGAAAAGUGAACUACCGUUUGAGUAUCCAUCAUAACUUGUUUAUUUGUUCAAUUCGGCUCUCUAUACCAUAUGCUGCUAAGGGCCCGAUAUCACUAUAUCAGACAAGAAAAUAUCUAACAUGGAAAGGAACUUUGCAACGUCUUGGCGCUCAUGGCCAUCCACGUACCACUCAAAGUCAGACAAGCAGCAUCAACUCUGGAUAACUUCGACAACAAUCUACUGGCUCUUGUUGCACCCUGAGACCAGAUAUUCGAUAGUUCCUUUCAAGAACGACUAGAUACGCAUGGACAACUUGCUCAUAAAAGCUCUCCUAUGUUGUUAAGGCCUGAUUCUACAGUUGCUGGGAGAGAAUCAAGUAGUAGUGAGGAUCCUAAAUAAGGAGCAGCAGCGUCCAAAUAAUGCAAAGCGACUGUCGCACUCGCGUCCAAGGCCCGACAGGCUACCUGCCGCUGAUCCUUUCCCUCGCUGUCGAGAGCUGCGGCCAAUCUCUUAAUGAGUAUUCCUGUGUAUGUGUGUAGGUGCGCGCUUGGUGGCCAGCACAAACAACAUCAAACUGGCUGGAUCACAUGGACCACACCGUGGCGUCCAGUCCAGUUGUUCGCGUACGUACGUGCAGCUUUCGUCCUCGGAUGCGCUCGAGGGAUCUGGACAUAGAUUAUUGGUGGCUUCUCGCCACGCCAUGAGUGAGUACUUUGGACCUUUCCUGGCCUAGUUUUGUAAUAGAUCUGUUGGAGUGGAUUGUAAAGUGAUUUGAUGAAGUGAUGCGUGGGGGUGGUUACCGGCAUCUCAACUGUGAGGGUCGUCAUGUGUACUGGGCUAUGGUUCCCUUAAUCCCUUUUUACUCUGUUAUAAUGAAUG